UGGGGAAUAUUGCACAAUGGGCGCAAGCCUGAUGCAGCCAUGCCGCGUGUAUGAAGAAGGCCUUCGGGUUGUAAAGUACUUUCAGCGGGGAGGAAGGCGAUGCGGUUAAUAACCGCGUCGAUUGACGUUACCCGCAGAAGAAGCACCGGCUAACUCCGUGCCAGCAGCCGCGGUAAUACGGAGGGUGCAAGCGUUAAUCGGAAUUACUGGGCGUAAAGCGCACGCAGGCGGUCUGUCAAGUCGGAUGUGAAAUCCCCGGGCUCAACCUGGGAACUGCAUCCGAAAAUGGCAGGCUGGAGUCUGGUAGAGGGGGGUAGAAUUCCAGGGGUAGCGGUGAAAUGCGUAGAGAUCUGGAGGAAUACCGGUGGCGAAGGCGGCCCCCUGGACGAAGACUGACGCUCAGGUGCG
rnacentral:rRNA from 1 species